rnacentral:rRNA from 1 species
UAUAGCAGCCAUAUCACCCUGGAACUCACAACUGGCAGCCCACUGAAGCUAAGCAGGUGUGAGCCUGGUCAGUACCUGGACGGGAGACCUCCUGGGAAAAACUAAGGUUGCUGCUGGAA